rnacentral:rRNA from 1 species
UACGGGGGGGGCAAGCGUUGUUCGGAAUUACUGGGCGUAAAGGGCUCGUAGGCGGCCAACUAAGUCAGACGUGAAAUCCCUCGGCUUAACCGGGGAACUGCGUCUGAUACUGGAUGGCUUGAGUUUGGGAGAGGGAUGCGGAAUUCCGGGUGUAGGCGGUGAAAUGCGUAGAUAUCUGGAGGAACACCGGUGGCGAAGGCGGCAUCCUGGACCAACACUGACACUGAGGAGCGAAAGCCAGGG